ACAGAGCCGGGAGAUGGCAUCCCUCCCAAACCGCCCUCGCGGCUGAUGAUGCCUACACUGCU
rnacentral:ncRNA from 1 species